CCAAUGGGUAUGGUCCCUAAGGCAGGAGGGUAUAAAAGGCUUAGGCUUGUGUCUUUUGGAUCUAUCACAUCCUUUUGAAAGAACAGAACCUCUCUCUCCCGUUCCCAUUGCCUAAGAGAAUACAGUGAAAGAGGUGGUGCCCUCUGUUGCUCUUAGAAGAUCCAUACCGUCUUCAUCAAACACACAAAUGGAAUCAGGUAGGUACCAUUUGGCAUAGAGAUUUAUGGUAUAUUAUUCAUGUGAUUUAGCAUGCGAUCCUGUAUGAUCAUUGUUCAGAAUAUGGAAUCUUACAUAUUGGUAUCAGAGCCCAAUGUUGAAUCACUUAGAAAUGGUAUAUUAGGGCAAUAAAAAAUUGUACUGCCUUUGUUUUUUCCUUUUGAUUGAAUUCAGGCGCCACUCAGAUGCCGUUAAAGUGCCUCUUCAACGCCGUAAAGGCGCUGUUAUGUAGCGCCCUUCAGGUCGUCUCUCCGGCAGCGUUAAGGCGCUAGUCAAGGGGCAAUUUAGGCACCUUUUGGAGGCGCUGUUCACGUGCCUUGGAGGCACGAUGCAGGCGCCAUUGCAGGUGCGGUUUAAGGCACGCCUUCAAGCGCGCCAUUCCAACGCCUUCAUGCACGGUUCAGGCGACCCACUUUGGCGCCUUCAGGUGCCAUUAGGGCGCUUUUCCAGGCGCCGUUGAGGCGCCAUCAGGGCGCACUCCCGGUGUCGCUAAGGCGCUGCCUCCCGCGCCAUCUCUAGCACCGUUUAGACGCCGUUGGGGCGCCAUUGCAGGCUCCAUCUCCAGGUGCCGUUAGGGCACGUUAACGGUGCCACUGCAAUGCCAUUGAGCGUUGUUGAGGCGCGGCUCAGGCAGCGCCGUUGAGGUGCGGUUCAGGCGUGUUUAAAGCACGUCGCUCCAGCGCCUUCAGGCGCCACUUCCGGCGCUGUCCGCAGCGUCAUUAAGGCGUUUCCCCAGACGCCGUUGGGCGCCACUGUCGGCGCCUCUUCCGACGCCACUACAGGUGCCUCUUCCGGCGCCGUUCAGGGCGUGCUUGGGGCGCCACUUUAGAAUCCGUGCUGUUGGAGGCCGACGCCAUGAAUGGCGUUUUUGAUUUAAAAAAAAAAAAAAAAAGGUGGAAAAUGGAGAAAAGGCCACCAAGGGAGCUUGAACCCAUGACCUAGGUUGCUCCCCUUUAUUUUCAAGGCCACAACUGAACAUAUAUAUAUUCUUGUAUUUAUGCUUUAAUUGAUAUAUAUAUAUACAUGCUUUUAUGCUUCAAUUGGUAUGGAUAUAUACAUAAGUUUAUGCAUAAAUAAAUAGAUGAAUGAUUUUAAUUAAAUUAUUUUUGUUAUAUUUGUGUUUGAUAUUUUAAAAUAAAUGAAUUAUGUAUAUCGAUUGCCAAAGUAACCUAUACUAUAUAAUUUAUUUAUUUUACAAUAUCUAAACAUAUUGUUAUUAUUUAAAAUAAUCGGCCCAAAGGAAGAUUAUUUUAAUAUAGUAAUAAAUAUAGUCAUAAAUAUGUGACAUAUAAAGUUUAUCUUGCAUUCGAUAUGUUAGUCCAAAGACAAGCAUAUUGUUUUUGAUUUUAUUGUCAAUAUUUAUGAAUUAAUUUUGUAUAAGGAUGCCAAUUACAAGUUAAUAUUUUUGUCCAAAGACUAAAUAUUAAUGUUUGUGCUAGGUAUCUUGCAUGAUGUUUAUUUAUUCAUGUAUGUAUGAUGCUCAUGUGACUGAUUGUGAGCUUUAUUAUUAUGAAUUCAACAUCUUCUAUAUCUAUAAAUGUUAAUAACAUUCCUGUGCUUAACGACACAAAUUUCAAGAAAUGGAAAGAGCACGUCAUAAUUGUGCUUGGAUGCAUGGAUUUAGACUUUGCAUUGAGGGAGGAUCGCCCUUCAGAUCUUACUAGUGCCAGCACUGCUGAGCAAAGGUCUACUAUGGAAAAAUGGGAGCGAUCCAAUUGUAUGAGUCUAAUGAUUAUGAAGCACUCAAUUCCAGAAGCAAUAAGGGGUGUAAUACAUAAGGAAACCUAAGCCAAGGCAUUCUUGGACCAGAUAGCAAACCGAUUCGCUGCAAAUGAAAAGGUUGAGACAAGCACUAUUCUUAGUAAGCUUGUCUCUAUGCCAUAUAAAAGGAAAGAGAAUAUCAGGGAGUACAUUAUGGAAAUGUCUAAUCUUGUGACGAGACUCAAGGCACUAAAGUUAGAGUUGUCAGAAGACAUACUCGUGCACUUAGUCUUGAUCUCUCCGCCUACACAAUUCAGUCCAUUCAAAAUCAGCUACAAUACACAAAAGGAAAAAUUGACUUUGAAUGAGCUUAUUGCUCAAUGUGUGCAAGAGGAGGAGAGAUUGAAGCAAGAAAAGAUAGAAAGUGCUCACUUGGCUUCCACAUCUCAGGGAUUUGGUACCAACAAGAAAAGAAAGAGGGAUAAUAAAGGAAAACAAACUACGGUUUCUGGGACAUCAAAGCAAAAGGAGCAGAAGAAACAAGAUAAGGAGAUCACUUGUUUCUUUUGCAAGAAGGCUAGUCAUAUGAAGAAGACAUGUAUCAAAUACACUGCUUGGCAUGAAAAGAAAGGUACACUUCUCAACUUUCUUUGUUCAGAAAUUAAUUUAGCUAUAGUGCCUACUGACACUUGGUGGAUAGAUACGGGUGCAACUACUCACAUAAGUGUCACUAUGCAAGGUUGCCUAAGGAGCCGAAUGCCAACUGAUGGUGAAAGAUACAUCUAUGUGGGAAAUGGCAACAAGGCUGUAGUCAAGGCUAUUGGUCUUUUCAGAUUACAAUUAGACUCUGGAUGUACAUUGGAUUUGGAAAAGACUUUUGUAGUACUGUCGUUUAGACGGAAUUUAAUUUCUGUUUCAUGUUUGGACAAAUUUGGAUAUUGUCGUUCAUUUGGAAAUGGAAUGGUUAGUCUUUAUCUAAAUUCAAAUAUUGUUGGUACAAGUAGUCUAACAAACAAAUUAUAUAAAUUGAACAUAAAGGCCACUAAUGGAAAUGAAACCUUGCAUUCAAGUAAUUAUGGCAUUAAGCGAAAAUUAAUGAAUGAGAAUUCAUCAAUGUUAUGGCACAAGUGUUUGGGUCAUAUUUCAAAUCAACGAAUUCAAAGGCUUGUGUCAGAAGGAAUUCUUAAUCCACUUGAUUUCUUAGACUUUCAAGUGUGUAUAGAGUGCAUUACGGGAAAACAAACAAAUAUGAGGAAAAAGAAUGCCAAUAGGUGCAGUGACGUCUUGGAAUUGAUACAUACAGACAUUUGUGGUCCAUUUCCUACCCCUUCUUGGAAUGGACAACAAUAUUUUAUCACUUUCAUUGACGAUUACUCGCGUUAUGGCUAUCUUUAUUUGAUUCAUGAAAAGUCUCAGUCAUUGGAUGUUUUCAAGAAUUUCAAAGUUGAAGUUGAGAACCAACUAAGCAAGAAAAUAAAAGCUGUCAGAUCUGACCGUGGAGGUGAAUAUUAUGGUAGAUAUGAUGGAUCUGGAGAACAACGUCUAGGGCCAUUCGCCAAAUAUUUGAUGGAGUGUGGUAUCGUUCCUCAAUACACCAUGCUAGGGACUCCGAACCAAAAUGGUGUAGCAGAGAGGCGAAACCGUACUCUUAAGGAUAUGGUAAGAAGUAUGAUUAGUCAUUCCACCUUACCAAAAUCACUUUGGGGCGAAGCCAUAAAAACCGCAGUUUACAUUUUGAAUAGAGUACCAAGCAAAGUAGUAGCCAAAACCCCAUAUGAGUUAUGGACUAGCAAGAAACCUAGUAUUAGGCACUUGCAUGUCUGGGGUUGUCCAGUUGAAGCUAGGCCUUACAAGCCAAAUGAAAAGAAAUUGGACUCCAGAAUAGUGAGUUGCUAUUUUGUAGGGUAUUCUGAAAGGUCGAGAGGUUUCAAAUUUUAUGAUCCCUCAACUAGAUCCUUCUUUGAAACAGACAAUGCUAAGUUCAUUGAGGAUGUUGAGUUAAGUGGGAGAGAGUCAUUAAGAAAGGUGGUCUUUGAAGAAAAAUUUGUUAAUAUUCCUAUUAUUAAUAUUCCUAUUAUUACGACUGGACAUGGUCAUAUUAUGUUUGAUGACACUAUUCAGAAUGUACAGUCGAUAACAGGGAUUCAAGACACACAUGAGAUUCCUCCUGCUCAAGUUAUGGAACCGAUUCAAGUUCAUCAAGAGGUAACUCAACAACCUCAAGAACCUCAAGUACAAGUGCCACUAAGGAGAUCCACUAGAGAAAGGAGAAGUACAAUUUCAGAUGAUUAUGUUGUAUAUCUCCAAGAACAUGAGUUUGACAUGGGUUUGGAAGACGAUCCAAUUUCAGUAAGUCAAGUCAAACAAAGUUCUGAUUCUGAAAAGUGGAUAGAAACCAUGAAAGAUGAGAUGAAAUCAAUGAAAGACAAUGGUGUUUGAGACCUAGUAGAGUUGCCUAAAGGUGUAAAACCGAUUGGUUGUAAAUGGAUUUUUAAAACCAAGCGGGAUUCAAAAGGCAAUAUUGUUAGGUAUAAGGCACGCCUAGUUGCAAAAGGUUUCACUCAAAAGGAAAGCAUUGAUUAUAAGGAGACCUUUUCACCAGUUUCAUCAAAGGACUCCUUUAGAAUCAUCAUGGCACUUGUAGCUCAUUAUGAUUUAGAGCUACAUCAAAUGGACGUUAAAACUACGUUUCUUAAUGGCAACAUUGAUGAAACAAUAUACAUGGUGCAACCGAAGAACUUUGAGUCUAAUGAUUCAAAGCAACUUGUAUGCAGAUUAAAAAGGUCCAUAUAUGGUUUAAAGCAAGCAUCCCGACAAUGGUACCGAAAGUUUGAUCAGGUGAUUACUUCAUUUGGUUUUAAGGAGAACACCGUUGAUCAAUGCAUAUACCUCAAGUUCAAUGGGAGCAAAUUUAUUAUCUUGGUGUUAUAUAUUGAUGAUAUUCUACUUGCAAGUAGUGAUGUGGGACUUUUGCAUGAAACCAAGCGAUUUAUGUCUAGUAAAUUUAACAUGAAGGAUCUUGGUAAUGCAUCUUUUGUGCUGGGUAUACAGAUCCAUAGGGAUCGUUUAAGAGGUAUACUUGGGUUAUCACAAAAGGCCUACAUCAAUAAGGUGUUGAGUAGAUUUGGCAUGAGCAAUUGUGCACCAGGAGACACGCCUGUAGCAAAAGGCGAUAAGUUUAGUUUGCACCAAUGUCCGAAAAAUGAACUUGAGAAGAAAGAUAUGGAGAGAUUUCCCUAUGCCUCGGCAAUAGGAAGUCUCAUGUAUGCACAAGUUUGUACGCGUUCGGAUAUUGCGUACAUUGUUGGAAUGUUAGGCAGAUAUUUAUGUAACCCAGGUAUGGAUCAUUGGAAAAAGGAAAAACGGGUUAUGCGGUAUUUACAAAUAACUAAAGAUUACAUGCUCACAUACCGUAGAUCAAGUCACUUAGAGAUCGUGGGAUAUUCGGACUCCGAUUUCGCGGGAUGUCUUGAUAGUAGGAGAUCUACUUCAGGCUACAUCUUCAUGUUAGCUGGAGGAGCAGUUUCAUGGAAAAAUGUUAAAUAAACACUUAUUGCUUCUUCCACCAUGGAGGCAGAAUUCAUAGCCUGUUACGAAGCAUCAAACCAUGGGAUAUGGUUGUGGAAUUUUGUCACUCAGUUACAAAUAGUUGAUGGGAUUGAGAAACUUUUGAGAAUCAACUGUGAUAAUAAGGCCGCAUAAUUAUAUUCUAAGAACAACCGAAGUUCGUCAAAGUCCAAACACAUUGACAUCAAGUUCUUAGUUGUGAAAGAGAGAGUUCAGAGUCUUCAAGUAUCGAUUGAACACAUAAGCACAAACUCCAUGAUUGCGGAUUUGAUCACUAAGGGUUUGCCACCCAAAGUAUAUCAUGAGCACGUCGCACAUAUGGGUGUUGUACACAUUGAUGAUGUGUCAGAAUAGUGGGAGUUUGUAUCUAGAUUUUGUGUUUAUUCUCUUGAUGUGAUAUUAUGUUGUGUUAUCUGUACAGAUCUUGAUUUUAAAGACUAUUGUAUUUGAACACUCUGAAUUGAAAUGAUGACUUUCAGAAGCACUUUAGCAUCAAGUGUUGAAAGUGGUAUUUUGGCUAUCUUUUAGUCAUAAAGUAGGACCAAUUGGAAAUAGACAUAUUAAAGAUCAUAUUCUAUAUAAUUUCCAUACUACACAUCCAUACUUGAUCCAUGUUGCUAAUUUUGUUAAUGUUGUGAUUGAUGAUAGGUCAAGUUAUAAUUAUGAUUAACGAAGACCGCUUUAAUCCUAUGUUAACAUAAUUAGUAGACCGGAUUGUUUAAGAAUAUUUUGAAUAAGAUAGCAAAGAUGAGCUCAAUAAAGUACUAUUAUGAACAUUGUUUGUAAUAUAUAUGUGGUCCAAGUGGGAGAUUGAUAGAAUAAAUGUGGACCGACAAUAUAUUAAACAUUGUCCAGGAUUAAGCUAUCUUUUAACAUGCAAUUUCUGAUUUAAUCUUGAGUAUGAGCCACCUAAUGUGUAGAGCCCAAUGCCAUCACGGGCUUUAGAUGAUGGGCCUAAGGCCCAUGAGGCCCAAUAACCAAUGGGUAUGGUCCCUAAGGCAGGAGGGUAUAAAAGGCUUAGGCUUGUGUCUUUUGGAUCUAUCACAUCCUUUUGAAAGAACAGAACCUCUCUCUCCCGCUCCCAUUGCCUGAGAGAAUACAGUGAAAGAGGUGGUGCCCUCCGUUGCUCUUAGAAGAUCCAUACCGUCUUCAUCAAACACACAAAUGGAAUCAGGUAGGUACCAUUUGGCAU
rnacentral:lncRNA from 1 species